rnacentral:rRNA from 1 species
CAGUCGCCACGGGAAUACGGAGGGGGCUAGCGUUGUUCGGAAUUACUGGGCGUAAAGCGCACGUAGGCGGCUUGGUAAGUUAGAGGUGAAAGCCCGGAGCUCAACUCCGGAAUUGCCUUUAAGACUGCCGAGCUAGUAGGUGAGAGAGGUAAGCGGAAUUCCGAGUGUAGAGGUGAAAUUCGUAGAUAUUCGGAAGAACACCAGUGGCGAAGGCGGCUUACUGGCUCAUUCUAGACGCUGAGGUGCGAAAGCGUGGGGAGCAAACAGGAUUAGAUACCCGCGUAGUCCCUGUCUCUUAUAC